AUCAUUUAUAUUUUUCUUUUUGCUUCUUAUUCUUUUUAUUUCAUCCUCUUUUAUGGGGAUAUGUGUGGAAGGAGAGGACCUAAGGGAGAUCAGAGGGGUUUGUUAGGUUUCGAUUGGGGUUUCUCUGAAGCAUAUGGGAUUUUGUGUGAGUCAAUCGCUAUGGAGGUUUCUCGUUUAUCCCAUUAUUUUGUCUUACAAAAUGAUGUAAUCCUUAGUUUGACC
rnacentral:lncRNA from 1 species